GACGAACGCUGGCGGCGUGCUUAACACAUGCAAGUCGAACGGUGAAGCGCCUUCCUUUUUUGUGGGUGUGGAUGAGUGGCGAACGGGUGAGUAACACGUUAGUAACCUGUCCCGUUCUUCUGGAUAACCGCAUGAAAAGGUGGCUAAUACGGGAUAUUCUGGGUCUGUCGCAUGAUGGGUCUGGGAAAGAUAUUGUUUCGGUGGGGGAUGGGCUCGCGGCCUAUCAGCUUGUUGGUGGGGUGAUGGCCUACCAAGGCGGUGACGGGUAGCCGGCCUGAGAGGGUGGACGGUCACACUGGGACUGAGACACGGCCCAGACUCCUACGGGAGGCAGCAGGGGGGAAUAGUGCACAAUGGGCGCAAGCCUGAUGCAGCGACGCCGCGUGAGGGAUGGAGGCCUUCGGGUUGUGAACCUCUUUCGCCAGUGAAGCAGGCCUGCCUCGUUUGUGGGUGGGUUGACGGUAGCUGGAUAAGAAGCGCCGGCUAACUACGUG
rnacentral:rRNA from 1 species